AUAACUCCGGGAAACCGGGGCUAAUACCGGAUGCUUGUUUGAACCGCAUGGUUCAAACAUAAAAGGUGGCUUCGGCUACCACUUACAGAUGGACCCGCGGCGCAUUAGCUAGUUGGUGAGGUAAUGGCUCACCAAGGCAACGAUGCGUAGCCGACCUGAGAGGGUGAUCGGCCACACUGGGACUGAGACACGGCCCAGACUCCUACGGGAGGCAGCAGUAGGGAAUCUUCCGCAAUGGACGAAAGUCUGACGGAGCAACGCCGCGUGAGUGAUGAAGGUUUUCGGAUCGUAAAGCUCUGUUGUUAGGGAAGAACAAGUACCGUUCGAAUAGGGCGGUACCUUGACGG
rnacentral:rRNA from 2 species